CUUAUGGACACCAAAUUAAAAUUUUUUCAUCAGGUUUGUUACACUAGGAAGGGUGGAAAUCACUGCUGGAAGAAUGAAGGAAACUGGGCUCGUUAGACUACUUCUAAAUAAUAUUUGCUGGGGAGUGGUUUCUAAUUUUACGAAGCUUGUUUUUCAGGGAGCUUGGUCCUGAGUGGGCUGGAAUUGGUGGUACUAGAAUGGCUUGCAUUAAUCCAUCUCUCCACCCUCCUCUUUGCCCUGGAACCCAUCACUACCGUAUCAUGUGAUAGAUUGCCUUUUGUCAUUUUUCACAAUUUAGCUGAAGAUUGCCAGGUAGGAUGACAACUGGAGUA
rnacentral:lncRNA from 1 species